rnacentral:lncRNA from 1 species
UUCUCUUUAAUAAUCCUUAUGGUUGCUUUUUCAACAAUUCAAACUUUGAAUUACUCAAAUAUCUGCCAAACAAUCUUAUUAAUACGCUAUUUCCAAAUGCGUAUAAUAAAAUCAUACAUAAAAAUCCCAUAGGAAAAGUGUAGGAAAAUACUUAAAUAUCUGAAUUCAUUAAUUUUCUAAUGGACAAUAUUUGAGACUAGAAAGUCUCACUCGAUGAUUGAGGUCAUCCAAAAAUUGUGUCAUUUUAUUUUGAACUUUAUUGAUAUAACUCUUUUGUGAUGUCUGAAUAAUACCUUGAGAAGAAUCUCUAAGUAUUAAAUGCAUAAUACAAAAGAGGUGUCCCCAAGAUCUUUCAUCACUAACUUUCGUUAGAGAUUUCCUUGGUUUCACAUAACAAACAUAUAUCAUGGUUGACUAAAUAAAAUAAAAUUGACAUAUUAAACUAUGAAUAUAAACUUUCUCCCACAUAAUUUGCUAAAUUUCUCAAAAUCAAAUGAGAUAAUUACUUUAUGAGAAUAUGUAGUAACAAUAAAGAGACAAAUUUCUUAACUCAUAAGUGGAUUUCAUGAUUUUGCAAAACAUCUACUUUGUAUCUAUUGACACAAGAGUUUUCUUAAGUUGCACCAUAUUGAAUCAUUAAUGUCACCAUUGAGAAACAAUGCAUUGACAUCCAUCUUAUGUAGCUUCAAAACUAUAACAAGUAAACUAGUGUUAUGACUGUCCUAAUAGAGUCUUUCAAUUACACUAAAUAUAAUUUCUCUUUCAAGUCAAUUCUUUAUGACACUAGAAGCCCUAGUUCUUGAGGGUGUUGAGUUUGAACUAUAUGAAUUAAUUUAACUUGAUUGAGAGGAAGAACAAUAAUGUCCUCAUGAGGAUCCAAAAAUACUAUAAUAGUAACUAUAUGAAUUAGUUUAGAACUAAAUUCUUCCUCAUUCAAUUUUGUUCUAUUACCAUAUCUCUCCUCCAAACUCAAUAUCCUCAAGAAAGCUUAACAAUUUAUGUCUCAAAAAAUUUCUUAAUUUGUGGGAUGAAAAACUUAUAGUAUUCAAAACCUUAAACAAUAUAGAAUGUCACAAGUCAUAACUGAAUUGACUCUAAUAAUUGAAUUUAAAAGACACAUUGAAUCAUCAUUUGUAAAUAAAACUCAAAACAUCUUCAUUUAUUCAAAGAGAAAUUAAAACAAAAAUUCAUUCAAAUAAUGAUUCACCAAAUUGUCUUUUAAAUACAAAAAUAAGCUAGUAACGACAAUCUAAAUUGUCUUUUCGACUUUGUCCAUUUUUUUUUUUAUAAGCAAGGAGAGUGGACAAACAUCAAGCGGCAUCAUCGACAUCCCAACUAGGUUGGCACCUCGAGACACCUCCAUCCUCUGCUGCCACACUCGAAAUAAUUUAUUAAAAAAGGGGGAAAAAUAAUUACAAAAAGAGGGGGGACUAGGCCAAAACCCUCAAAAUAAAACAGCAAAAAGAAAACAGAGAAAAUAACAGAAACAAUAGACCUCCAAAAACAAAUCAAGAGCAUCUAUAAUUCGGAAGUCCACAUCUAUCCCUAAAGAAUUCAAGACUCGCACUCGUAGGAAGAGUGUCUAACCAAACGACACCAGCUAUGUCAUGACCCAAAUAUGCCAACUUAUCUGCGCAACUGUUUCCUUCACGAAAAAUAUGAGAGGAAAUUACCUGAAUUCCAAGUAGCCAAGCAUUAUGCCAACGAAAGCAAAAUCUCUAACAUUCCAAUACAGGAAAUUCAUUGAUCACUCGAAUGAUUGUCACCCCGGGUACGGGAUUUAUUAGGCUGCUUUGCUAAGACUUGUUGUACCUUGAGUUUUUGUUUCUGUUUUCUUGUUAGAACAUGCAUGAAGUCUUCAGCUGCUGAUCUUUCAUCAUAUUCUCGGACUCUUGCCCACAAAUCUAAACCAUGCUGGAUAUUCUUGCUAGGAUGAACCUCUUGCUUUUGCAAAAUAACCACAUCUUGUUCCUUUUCCGUGGGCAUACUUCCACUAACAACACUGGGUGGUUCGACAACCACAUGUGAUUUCAAGGCAUGUGAUCCAGCAUACACGUCAUCGUGCUCAACAACAGUAUCCGUCUGAACCUGCACCGAUUCUAUAGACCCUUCAUGCACCUCUUGAUGCUCAACAACAUGUGAUGAAUGUGGUGCACUCUCAAUGGGAACUUUGGGACUCUCCUCCAGCUCCCUCAGGCUCGAAAGAUUGUGCUCACUCUCGUGAGAACCUUUGGGACUCUCUUCCAGCUCCCUCGGGCUCGAACGAUUGUGAUCCACCUCAUCUGAAAGCAAACCAGAGACAUCAUCCAUCGUGGGGUUCUCCAACACCUCCCUAGAUGUCAUAUGUAACUUCUCUACUGUCUCAGAAUGCACAUCAACAUGCGCAACAUAGGAAACAACUUCUAACACUGACAUAGUAUGUGGCAACUCUCCAGGAGAAAUUUUAUCAAACACAUUGUGUAAUGGAAAGCUGAAAGAAUUGGACGACAAAGACAUGUCCAUCUGAGAACUAGCCACUGUAGAAGUAACAACCGGCCCCAUCUGUGAAUUAAAGGUUAAAGUAGGGGCAGGAAAUGAAGCCGGAAUGGCUAGUGAAGCUGGUGCCAAUGAUGUAGGUGUAGGUGUAGAAAUAUCAGAGACCGGAACCCUCUGAGUGGUAGUAACAGUCGAAGCAACCGGAACCGGAACCCGUGUCCAAGUGCUACCAAAGGCCGACGUUGAAGCACCCACAUCCUUGUUGUUGUUGUUCUGCCGAGUAGGCUUAGGGGGUGCUACCUCGGCUACAACAAUCUGUUUCCCUCGAUCAAUCUUGUCCUUAGGUGCUUGCGGAUGUAACCAACGACAAGUAGAGACAUCGUGCCCAAUAGCGAAGCAGUGAUGACAAAACAACGGUCUCCGUUCAUAUUGGACCUCAACUUUGAAAGCAAAGUCAUCUCUCUCAACAAGAAUUUCAUCAAAAGUUCUUUUUGAAAGAUCAAUGUCCACUAAAAUUCUUGCAUAAUGUCCAAAGGUACGAUUUCGCGUCGGUCCAUCAAUGUCAAUCGGUGUACCUACCGCGCUUGCUAUUUCCUUCAAAAUUCUCUCCCGCCAAUAUUCCUGCGGUAACUCCACCAAUCGAAUCCAAAGUGAAACAUGAGUCUGUUUCUGAGCAAGAUAUUUGAAGUCUUUGGUCCAUUGUGAAAACCUUAACAAACCUGGCUUGAGGUUCACCGUGCCUGCUGCCCAUAUUUUUCUAAGGUCAUCUGCCGAGUCAAAGUGAAAGUCAUAAUAGCCUUUGCCUAGAGGCACCAUUUUCCAUCCUGCCGAUGUUUUCCAUACCUUGCCAAUUUUGUUGCUUAGAUCACGUGCAAAAUAUGGUUUGUCUCCUUUGUUAAGGGUCAAACGUGCCCUCAACACAUUCUUGCAAUCCUCUAGUCCCCUAUGAUACUCUUCCUGACAUAUUUUAAUGCUCAAAGCAUCACCCUUGAUACAUGGAGUAGGGAACGGACUGUCGUCAACAACUUUCUGUCCCGCUAGGGCUGCUGCAAAUGUCAUAUUCUGCUGCACAUUUGCUGAAGAAGAUGGUUGUUGCAUAAUUGUAGUGACUGUAGGUACAGUUACGGUGUCGGACACACACGGCCAGGAGCACGUGUAUGCCAUCAAUGGCCAAGCUGCAAUGCACCAAAACCAAUUCUAAUUAUGGGACACGCGUGGGUCAGCCUUUGUAACGCAACAGAGCAUUAGCGCGGCUGCGCGAUCUCAAAUUGAAGAAUCAGUGUCAGUGAACUACGAGGAACAAGUAGCGGUAUGGCGAUAGCUGUACAAUCGUGAAAUUGAGAAUACCAGUAACACAGCAGAGAGAAACCGAAACACAGCAGAGGAAACACAAUGCAAAUAUGGAAAACAAGAAUACCUGCACUGUGUCGUGAAAAUCCUAUGCCGUGAAAAGCCCAAACGCCGAAACUCAAUUGCACUGGGUGUUGAUUGCCGGAACCCCAAAUAUACUGCUUCAGUGCGAGACAGUUUUCUCUUGACUCAGACCUUGUUUCGACGAUCCGAACGGUGAAAACGUAGACCCAGGUGUUGCGAACCUGAUGUCCAAAAAUCAGCCCGAUCCGACGGUUAACGACUGAGAAAUCGAUGUUUUACUGAAGCAGGUUUCAGAAAAACGAGAAUCGCUCCAUAUUCACAAGGUUACAGCGGCGGCAGCUUUCCUAUGAGUUAAUAGUUCUUUCAAUAAGGUU